rnacentral:rRNA from 1 species
GAAUAUUGGACAAUGGGGGGAACCCUGAUCCAGCCAUGCCGCGUGUGUGAAGAAGGCCUUCUGGUUGUAAAGCACUUUAAGCGAGGCGGAGGCUACUCUAGUUACUACCUAGAGAUAGUGGACGUUACUCGCAGAAUCAGCACCGGCUCACCACGUGCAAGCAGCCGCGGUAAUACAGAGGGUGCAAGCGUUAAUCGGAUUUACUGGGCGUAAAGCGCGCGUAGGUGGCCAAUGAAGUCAAAUGUGAAAUCCCCGAGCUUAACUUGGGAAUUGCAUUCGAUACUGGUUGGCUAGAGUAUGGGAGAGGAUGGUAGAAUUCCAGGUGUAGCGGUGAAAUGCGUAGAGAUCUGGAGGAAUACCGAUGGCGAAGGCAGCCAUCUGGCCUAAUACUGUCACUGAGGUGCGAAAGCAUGGGGAGCAAACA